rnacentral:rRNA from 1 species
AGAGUUUGAUCCUGGCUCAGGACGAACGCUGGCGGCACGCCUAACACAUGCAAGUCGAGCGGAGAUUGAGAGCUUGCUCUCAUGAUCAGCGGCGGACGGGUGAGUAACACGUGAGCAACCUGCCUUUCAGAGGGGGACAACAGUUGGAAACGACUGCUAAUACCGCAUAACAUUGCCGAACGGCAUCGUUUGGCAAUCAAAGGAGCAAUCCGCUGAAAGAUGGGCUCGCGU